GAUGAUCAUGAGGAUGAUGAGGAUGAUGAGGAUGAUGACGAGGACGAUGAUGAUGAUGAUGAUGAUGAUGAUGAUGAUGAUGAUGAUGAUGACGAUGACGAUGAUGACGACGAUGAUGACCACGAUGAUGAUGACGAUGAUGAUGAUGAUGAUGAUGAUGAUGAUGAUGAUGAUGAUGACGAUGACGAUGAUGAUGAUGAUGAUGAUGAUGAUGAUGACGAUGACGAUGAUGACGACGAUGAUGAUCACGAUGAUGAUGACGAUGAUGAUGAUGAUGAUGAUGAUAAUGAUGAUGAUGAUGAUGAUGAUGAUGAUGAUGAUGAUGAUGAUGACACAGAAUAGAUAAUAGGACCAGAAGUCUUACUCAAGCGGAAACAUGUCCCAUCUUUUAUACUGCGCAUGCGCGAGCUAAACAAGUGUAAUGCAGUGUUGGCAAUAGAAAAUUAUAUUGGGAAGUUGUCAUUUCUACAGUAAAACAGCUUUUUUUUCAAGUAGUACGAAUUGUGACUUCGAUUUAUCUGUGGAACUAUUUGAACAGAAGGUAAAGCAGUAAUUUUGUUGUAUUUAGAAAGCAAACAGGGUCAUAUUUUUAAAAAUAUAGCGCACUGAAUAUAAAUUUGAGCAUCAUUAAAAUGUGUUUGCUAUGAUGCCAUUUUGUCUCCGGUAUAUACUGAGUUCUGCUUUUAUACUUGUGGAUAUUCGAAUUUAUUUGGCUCAAAAACACCAUUACUUCAAUAUCCCUUUCUUGUUUUUCCUUGGAUAGGUUUUAACAAGAUAGAACUCUAGAUCACUUGGAUCCAAAGACGCUAGAUUAUAAAAUCCUGAUGUGACUUGAUACUACAAAUAGAAUAUGUCUUAUGAUUUAAUACUACAAAUAGAAUGUCUUUUAAGUACAAACUUCAAUGAAUUGAUAAAGUGUAAGGAUAGUGUUUAAAGUCGCUUCAUGUGUAGAAGCUGAAUUACUUUAGUUUAUACACUGUAUAUUGUCGAGAUCACAUGUUGAUAUGACUUAAUGCUAGCAACUUGCAAUAAGUGGUCUGUUCUGCUUGUUUAUAAUACUUUAGAGUUUGGACAUUAGAACAUUGUAAUUGCCUGACAGAGACUGUUAGGGCCUGUUUGUAUGGAAGCCGGGCUGGCCCGCUUAGCAAGACAGUCUGGUAAGGUAGUUAAGCAGGAUGAUUUCUCUUGUGUUUAUUUGAGAAAAUUUCAUUCCGCUUACCAGGACAAUUUUGUUGUUUUGACAUUAUUUUGACAGUUGUUAAAAAUAGCUUGCGGCAGUAUCUUUGAACUUUCAUCCCGGCAACCGGGCUAGCCUGCUUAUGAUUGUUUAUGUGGAGAAAUUUCCAUCCUGGUCUUGGCAACCGGGCCUGCCCGCUUGUCCAUAGAAAUGAUAAUUUGUACUAUAAAAAUAACUAGACAGCGAGAUCUCACUUACCGGGCUGUCUCACUUAGCGGACCAGCCAGUUUCGAUAUAAACAGGCCCUUACACAACUGCUAAAAGCUGCAAGUUUCUUUAAAGCAAUAUCAUCUAUAUCACAGAAUACAGUUUCUGUAGUGACUCUCAUUGUAACUCAGUAGUCUCAGUUAUUCCUUCUCAAGAAAAAUAAAAAAACAAAGCUGUGUGGGUGUGUUUUUGCUCUAGCUAGUUUUUACAUUUACAUGGUUCAUGUACAAUUAAUGUACAUUUAGAUUAGCUUUGUUCAAUGAAUACAGGUGUGAUUCAAAUAUCAUUCCUGUCAGGUACUUGGGUCAAAUAGACAUAA
rnacentral:lncRNA from 1 species